rnacentral:rRNA from 1 species
UAAGGAAUCUUCCACAAUGGACGAAAGUCUGAUGGAGCAAUGCCGCGUGCAGGAUGACGGCCUUCGGGUUGUAAACUGCUUUUAUAUGGGAAGAUUAUGACGGUACCAUAUGAAUAAGGACCGGCUAACUACGUGCCAGCAGCCGCGGUAAUACGUAGGGUCCAAGCGUUAUCCGGAAUCACUGGGCGUAAAGCGUGUGUAGGCGGUAUGUUAAGUGAUAUGCGAAAUCUCGUGGCUCAACCAUGUAGACUGUGUAUCAUACUGGCGUACUUGAGGAUGGCAGAGGCAAGUGGAAUUGAUAGUGUAGCAGUGAAAUGCGUAGAUAUUAUCAGGAACACCAAUGGCGAAGGCAGCUUGCUGGGCCAUAUCUGACGCUGAGACACGAAAGCGUGGGGAGCGAACAGG